AGGACCGAACCGACUACCGUUGAAAAGUUAGCGGAUGACUUGUGGAUAGGGGAGAAAUUCCAAUCGAACCCGGAGAUAGCUGGUUCUCCCCGAAAUAGCUUUAGGGCUAGCGUCGGAAAGAACCUUAGUGAAGGUAGAGCACUGAAUGUGUGAUGGCCCCAUCCCGGGGUACUGAAUACAAUCAAACUGCGAAUGUCAUUAAGGAUGUCCGGCAGUCAGACUGUGAGUGAUAAGGUCCAUGGUCAAGAGGGAAACAGCCCAGACCGCCAGUUAAGGUCCCAAAAUACAUGCUAAGUGGAAAAGGAUGUGGGGAUGCCCAGACAACUAGGAGGUUGGCUCAGAAGCAGCCAUCCUUUAAAGAGUGCGUAACAGCUCACUAGUCGAGUGACCCUGCGCCGAAAAUGUACCGGGGCUAAGCCUGAUACCGAAACUGCGGAUUGUAGGAAACUAUAGUGGUAGGGGAGCGUUGUAUACGAGCAGAAGCCGUACCGUGAGGAGCGGUGGAUUGUAUAGAAGUGAGAAUGCCGGUGUGAGUAGCGAGAUGUAGGUGAGAAUCCUACACACCGAAAGCCCAAGGAUUCCAGGGGAAGGUUCGUCCGCCCUGGGUUAGUCGGGACCUAAGGCGAGGCCGAAAGGCGUAGUGGAUGGAAAGCAGGCGAAAGAUUCCUGCACCCGUAUAUGGAGCGAAGGAGUGACGGAGACGGAUAGUGUGACCCUCUUAAUGGAUUGAGGGCGAAGCGAAGCGGCUGGUUACCAGGCAAAUCCGGUAACUGAAAGGCUAGAGCGUGACAGGUAAGCGAAAUCUUAGGAAAGUAGCGAAGCACAUGAUGACGGCUUCCAGGAAAAGCUUCUGGCAAUGCAUAUGCGGCCCGUACCAAAACCGACACAGGUGGGCAGGGAGAGAAUCCCGAGGUGAGCGAGAGAACUGUUGCCAAGGAACUCGGCAAAAUGACUCCGUAAGUUAGCGAGAAGGAGUGCUUAAGCAAUUAAGCCGCAGUGAAGAGGCCCAAGCGACUGUUUAACUAAAACACAGCUCUCUGCGAAGUCGCAAGACGAAGUAUAGGGGGUGACACCUGCCCGGUGCUGGAAGGUUAAGAGGAUCUGUUAAGAGCGAUCUGAAGCAGUGAUCCGAAGCCCCAGUGAACGGCGGCCGUAACUAUAACGGUCCUAAGGUAGCGAAAUUCCUUGUCAGGUAAGUUCUGACCC
rnacentral:rRNA from 1 species